rnacentral:rRNA from 1 species
CCUCACACUGCCAAGAAAAGCUUCUAGUGAGAAAGUAACUGCCCGUACCGCAAACCGACACAGGUAGUUGAGGAGAGAAUCCUAAGGUGUGCGAGAGAACUCUCGUUAAGGAACUCGGCAAAAUGACCCCGUAACUUCGGGAGAAGGGGUGCUGACCGCGAGGUCAGCCGCAGUGAAUAGGCCCAAGCGACUGUUUAUCAAAAACACAGGUCUCUGCAAAAUCGAAAGAUGACGUAUAGGGGCUGACGCCUGCCCGGUGCUGGAAGGUUAAGAGGAGAGGUUAGCGCAAGCGAAGCUUUGAAUUGAAGCCCCAGUAAACGGCGGCCGUAACAAUAACGGUCCUAAGGUAGCGAAAUUCCUUGUCGGGUAAGUUCCGACCCGCACGAAAGGCGUAACGAUUUGGGCACUGUCUCAACGAGAGACUCGGUGAAAUUAUAGUACCAGUGAAGAUGCUGGUUACCCGCGACAGGACGGAAAGACCCCAUGGAGCUUUACUGCAGUUUGAUAUUGCGUGUUUGUAUCACAUGUACAGGAUAGGUAGGAGCCGAAGAUACCGGGACGCCAGUCUCGGAGGAGGCAACGGUGGGAUACUACCCUUGUGAUAUGACCACUCUAACCCGCUGCUCUUAGCGAGCAGGGAGACAGUGUCAGACGGGCAGUUUGACUGGGGCGGUCGCCUCCAAAAAUGUAACGGAGGCGCCCAAGGGUUCCCUCAGAAUGGUUGGAAAUCAUUCGUAGAGUGUAAAGGCAGAAGGGAGCUUGACUGCGAGACCUACAAGUCGAGCAGGGACGAAAGUCGGGCUUAGUGAUCCGGUGGUUCCGCAUGGAAGGGCCAUCGCUCAACGGAUAAAAGCUACCCUGGGGAUAACAGGCUUAUCUCCCCCAAGAGUUCACAUCGACGGGGAGGUUUGGCACCUCGAUGUCGGCUCAUCGCAUCCUGGGGCUGUAGUCGGUCCCAAGGGUUGGGCUGUUCGCCCAUUAAAGCGGUACGCGAGCUGGGUUCAGAACGUCGUGAGACAGUUCGGUCCCUAUCCGUCGCGGGCGUUGGAAAUUUGAGAGGAGCUGUCCUUAGUACGAGAGGACCGGGAUGGACACACCGCUGGUGUACCAGUUGUUCUGCCAAGAGCAUCGCUGGGUAGCUAUGUGUGGACGGGAUAAACGCUGAAAGCAUCUAAGCGUGAAGCCCCCCUCAAGAUGAGAUUUCCCAUCACUUUAAGUGAGUAAGACCCCUGAGAGAUGAUCAGGUAGAUAGGUUGGGAGUGGAAGUACAGCGAUGUAUGGAGCGGACCAAUACUAAUCGGUCGAGGACUUAACCG